UACGUAGGGGGCAAGCGUUGUCCGGAAUCAUUGGGCGUAAAGCGCGUGUAGGCGGCUCGGUAAGUCCGCUCUGAAAGUCCGGGGCUCAACCCCGGGAGGCGGGUGGAUACUGUCGAGCUCGAGUCCGGAAGAGGCGAGUGGAAUUCCUGGUGUAGCGGUGAAAUGCGCAGAUAUCAGGAGGAACACCUAUUGCGAAGGCAGCUCGCUGGGACGUUACUGACGCUGAGACGCGAAAGCGUGGGGAGCAAACAGG
rnacentral:rRNA from 1 species